AACCGCCAGCUUUUCUGUUCUCACCUUUUACACCUCUCUUAGCUGUGUUUUAAAGAACUUUGAUAAACUUUACCCCCCUUUGUUAAGCGAGAUUAGGGAAGCAGUGUUUUCUUUUCUUCCCGUAGUUGGCUUGAGCACGCCCACUGCAGAGGGAAAUGCCUGGGGUCUAAGAACUUUGAUAUCUCGCUUAAACUUUUCUCAAAACCCUGUCCUCGUUAUUAAAUUGGCAUUAAUUGGCUUUGGGGAUGGGAACCAAACUUUCAGUCAUAAAUUUUGACACCCCAGAGGGGACUUUAAAGGAGUCCCCACUCUGCCAUCUUGGGGAAGCCUAGCACUCGAAACAACUGCAAGCAGAGGAUGAACUUUUUGGGAGCUGACUACUGAAAAUUUGGGAGAUAUAGAAAAUGCCUGGUGCCUGGGGUCAAACCAAACCAGAGGAACUAAUCCUGUAAGUAAAAGCUUCUGCUUAGGCACUACCGGCCUCUGAUGACUGAUGAACCCCCAACAUCUUCAAGAGAACAGUUCACUCAGUGCUGAAGCUCACUACCAGGCACGAUGGAAUACAACGGACAUCAGACAGCGGGAGACAACGAGUUCGGAGAACCUCUCAAUCUACCAUUCUGGGUUCAUGAGUCUUUAUGUCCUUCUAAGCCUCCUCAUGGCCCUUGGCCUCUUUUCUGUCAGUCCCCCAACAUGGAACUUCUGCCAAAAAUUGACCUUUGCUUUAAUUUUUAUCUUCAUUCUGUUUUUAUUCGCUCUGAUUUUCUUCAGGUGCUGGUGAUGCCAACAUGGUGCCUAAGGACUUCUUCUUCCUACCUCCUUCUUCUCUGCAGUGGCGCGAAAAGUUCCUGCCCGUGUGAACUCUCCAGCUGGCGCCAAUCUCAAAUCUUGCUGGCGGAGAACCUUAGCCCCAAUGAGAACUAAUUCCUGGGCUCCGGAGCUGAUAUCUGGAAGAACUUACCAAUAAACUGGUUGCCUGCCAUUUAUCUAAGCCCUACCAUCUCCCCCUUAGUUCUAUAUAAGCACACAGCUUUUUGCAAGGUUAAUUAUGAUACUAUUAAUAUAUGUUCAUAUUUUCCAGGUAUACAAGUCUGUAAGGUAGAAGCUUCAAAAGACCAUUGUAUUAAGCUGGUGUUAUAAGGUUGUAUGGUAAUUUUAGGCUUAAAAGAAAAACAUGUUGGAGAUUUAUUUAUAUCAUUUGUGUUCUACAACUGGACUUGUUAUCAGUUCCAUGUUACUUUUUACACUGAGAUACAAUUUAAAUGUAUUUUUAAGUUAAUGAGAGCCUAAUCUGUGUAAAGGUUUUAUUGUAAAACACCAAAGUACUUUGCUACUCUUCUAUAAAAGGUUAGAAGUUUUCAGCCUUUAAUUCAUGUUUUAGAUGUGAUAUUAUGUUGUGUUAGUUAAUAUCAAUGUAAACUUGAGCAACAAUUUAUGUAGGCUUUGUAAAAUGAUGUCUAAAAAGCAAAGAUCAGCUUCAGAACUAUAAUAUUUAAGAUUUAUGAAGAGCCCCGCCUUACUUCAGAUAAGACUCUAUGUCCCACCUCAUGUGAAAGAGACUAUGAAAGUAGGCCAGAUUUCAGUACAUUUAAAGUUGUGUCCAAAAGUUGGUUUUUGCCAAGUUUACUAGGAUCUCAAACAGGGGAUUAUGAUGUAUAACCCUGCCAGAAUUCAAGGUAGCUAUUACAUAAACUAAAUAUGUCUUUACCCUAGUUAAUUUUAGUUUGUAGUUUGCUUAUAGAUGGUCUAAGGAUUGCCUGUUAAUGUUUUAAAGAGGUACUGCUUUAAGAACACACAACCUGGGUCAACUUAAGAUAAGGAGUUAUCAACUACAGGAUAGAGAGACAGACAUUAAAGCCCAGUGCUCUUAAUAUAAGGCUGUUAACUUAUUUGCUGGAUGUUUAAGAUUAAGUUUUAAAAUUAAAGUUAAAUUAAAAGGGCCAAGAAAACCAAUAUUUGGCUCUUUCCCUCUGAGUCAGUCUGAAUCAGGGAAUAGUGGACUUCUCCAAAGAGCUUUGCAACUCUAGGCCACAUAACCUCCCGGUCAGGGAGAUUAAUGAGACCAGUGGAGGACAGAAAGUCAAUCAGUGCAUUUGCUAUGAAGAGGAGGGUCAUCAGAGAAGGGAGAUAUCCCUGAUGCUUCUGAGGGAAGCUACAUGGUCAAGCAAGGCCUGGACCCAUCCUAGCGCAAAUGGCACUAGCGGAACUGAGAAGCUGCUGUAAGUUCCCCGAGGACUCCCAGGGAAACUCAGUGGACUGUUAACAAUAGAUAGAAACAAAAGUCAGUUUGACUUGCUUCAUCUUAAACACUUAGCAAAAACAGUCAAAGCCAAAGCACAGCUGUUCCUGGACAUUUUAAAUGAUAAUAAUAGUUAAAUGUAACUUCCAUAAAUAAGUAAACUGGAGGCUACAAAAGAGAUUCUCAGACAGGAAUGCCUGAUAACUAUUAAAAGGAACUGCCAGAGUAGUUUUUAGUUUAAGGACCACAGAUAUUCCUAACCUACACAGGUAGGCUUAAUGUUUGCUAGUAUGGUUAUCCAGCCCUAAGUAACAGAAUUAAAGAUUUCUCUAUUAGACACAGAGGUCAUACUAGUAAAAGGAUUUUGCAAGAUCAGAUGGCAUUAAAUUAUUAAACUGUAUCUUAAGGGAAAUGACAUCUGUAACCCUAAAUGUUAAUUGUUGUGUUUACAUCCCUGACAUUUCUGGCAAGGUGAAAAAUAUCCUUAAAGAUUUACAUGCUCAGAUGAAGCCAUGUACUCAGCAACUUUGUCAUGGAAACAAUAUCAGCUCCUGGUUCUUGGUACUUCUUGGUAGAAAACAUUGUUAGUCUUUGUCUUUGCCAUUAUACUCAUUGACAUAUUCCUGUGCUAUGGGAUUUAUUGUUGCAUCAAUCUGGUUCCAAAACUAAUGAAUUCUUGUUUCUCUUAUAGACCACCCAUCACUCAAAUGGCCCUCCAGCCUAUUACUUCUCAAUCGGACUUUUGUCAUGGACCACUCGAUAGACCCGAUUUUAAAGGGGGACUCCAAACUGCUUGCCCCACACCGUCCCUUUUCAGCCUGAAGAAGCCAGAAAGAUCCUCUUCGCCCCCCUUCCUUACAGCAGUGAGGAGUUCCCAAAUUAGAGGGGGGAAUGAAGCCAGAUUUAAAGUUAGGUAGUCAGUGUAGUUAGAUAAAUCGGGGUCUAAUACCGAGUAAAAUCUGAAAAGGAGGCCACGCUGAGAAUGAUUCCAGGGAACACAAAACAACUCAUGAAAUGUGAAACCCUUCAAUAAUUGUGAUUCAUUACUUUUAAGAUUAAAAGUAGUCAGAAAAAGGAGUGGGGAAUGUAAGGGUAAAAAAAAUUGAAGUUAAAGUGUAAAAUACCAGGUAUUGUAAAGUUUCUAAGCUGCAAGGACUGAGUUAAAAAAUAAAGGACCAGGUAUUGUUAAGUUCCUAUGCUACACACAAAACCUGAAAUUCCUGUAGCUGUUAGGACAAUACUGGAACUGCCCAGUAAAUAUUCCCCCUGACCAUCUGGUUGUUUAAUAACCUAGGACCCUGUGUGGCCUGGCACGUAGGCAUCGCAGGGCCUAAACCAAUCAGUUUGAAUGUACCUCCCUCCUUAGAACUCACCUAUCACUCCUGCCCAACCUGUUCCCGCCAAUGAAUGUGCUAAUCAAAUUUGAGAAUUGUUGUUUGAUUUUCCCACGGUGUAUAAUGAUUUGUUAAAGGAGACUGUGAUGUAUGUAAAGUCCCCGCCCUCCCCAAAAAGUGUACUUAAGCACUGCUCAACCCCUGCUCUGGGCUCUGGGCUGCUCUCCCUUCUUGAGCACGGAGCCCCAGCAUGCUGGAUUGGAUCCUCAAUAAACCCCAUUUGCUGUUGCAUGA